rnacentral:rRNA from 1 species
UCCGCAGGGGGUUUGUCAGGUCCGAUGUGAAAUGCUGCGGCUCAACCGCGGCACUGCAUUGGAAACCGGCGGACUUGAGUGCGCGAGGGGCGAGCGGAAUUCCCGGUGUAGCGGUGGAAUGCGUAGAUAUCGGGAAGAACACCGAUGGCGAAGGCGGCUCGCUGGCGCGACACUGACCCUCAUGGACGAAAGCGUGGGUAGCAAACA